UAUCCUGGACACCCUGGCAACUCAGUCUUCCCUAAACCACGCCCUCCCAAGCCCCUCGAUGGGUGCCUUUCUUCGUUGCCUGACCAAAGCCUGGCAUGCCUGAAUUCAUAGCUUGAACCACUUCUAGCUGUUUGACUUUGGGCAAGUAACUUACCCUUUCUGAAUCCAGAUUUCUGCACUUAUUAGACAAUACAAACCUCAAAGGGAGGCUAGAGAGUGAAGUGAGAUGUGUCGGGCUGAACACAGAGGCCCUCGUGACGAUGCACAGCCGUGAAGGAGUCAUGAGUCCGGAUCUCCCCAGAGGGUACCAGCUGCCUUCAUUGAGAACAAAUGGCAAGCUCCCCGGAGGAACCACGGCCACUGUACAGCCCGGUCUCGGGCAGCGUCCCAUGGCUCCUUCUGGACCUCUGGGUUGUCUUCACCAGGUUCAAGAUGCCAAGCAGCUCCAAAAAGUCUGCACAGAGGGGAGUCCCAGAAGCCGCCACCCCUAGGGCCAUCUCGGUCGGGCAACAGUUAAACUGGCAUACAUACAGGUAGUCCUGGGAUAUCAUCCACCCAGAAUCUGACCUGACCCCAGCCAGGGUUGCUGCCACCUCUGCCACUCCCCAUCCGGAAGGGAAGCAGGACGCCUGGGGGCUGGUAAGCCAGAGCACACCACAGCACCGGAAGGAAGGCACAGGGGAGGCUGGUAGCCUCCCUGGAGGAGGUGAGACCUGACUGGAGACUCAGAAGACAAGGUCAGGGUCACUUGUUGACAGCUGGAAAACCUGAGCUCAGUUCCCAGAACUCGAAAGCACGGCAGAAGGAGAAAACCAGCUCCUACCAGUUGUCCUCUGACUUCCGCAAGCACUGGCAUAAGCACACACCAAUAAAUAACAUGGUUUUUUCUG